UUUAUUUUUCAGAGCAGAAACAGAGAGAGGCUUGUCUAGAAAACACAUAAUAGAGGGUCUAAGGGCGUCACUGGAGAGACUUCAGUUAGAGUAUGUGGACGUAGUGUUUGCUAACAGACCCGACCCCAACACACCAAUGGAAGGAGAUCCAUUUAACACUUCAAAAUCAAGAACAUUCAUCAUAGAAG